rnacentral:lncRNA from 10 species
UUUAUAAAGAGAUUUCAGGUGCUGUCAGUUUUUCGGCGAUUAUCGGGCAGCUCCAAAUUCAUCGCUUUCUGCUGUGCUGAAAACUCCUUUGCUCUCUUGCUUCCUGUUGUGUUUUGCCAGCAGGGGGCACUGGAGAGGGACAACUGGACGGGAGAGAGGGGUUCAUCUCGAUUGGCUUGCUGCUUCGUCAGGAUGCAGGGGCGCUUCACUCUGGCUGCAGCGGCUGGUGGCAGCCUCCAACUUCUUUCCGCACUUCCAGAAGCAUCCUCCUGGGGCCGGUCGGUCACACCGGCAACAGCUGGGAGGCGCCCCUUCCUCAGCGGCCUGAGCUUAGCCUAGCGUCUCCUCCUCUAAACCCCUGCUCCCAGCAGCAGCCGGGUAGCCCUCCCUCCUCCGCAGCCUGCCACCCGGGCCAGGCUGUCACCACGCACCUGCAGAGUGAAGGAGUUUCAGGCACGGUUCCAGGCCUCUGCUUCCUGAGAUGGUGCAGCAGAGGUUUGGAGGGAGGUGCGUGGCCCAGUGUGCUCCCCGGGGGAAAUUGUGAGAAAAACCCACGUCUCUCUGGAGAGUUGCUUUUACAAAGUACCUAUUUGGGAUCUCAUCAAAUAUCUAGGAAAGAUCAACCAUCUAUGAAGAUAAAAAACUGGGAGUUAGCACCAGACCCAGACAGACUUUUCAUCUAUUCUUCUGAGGGCAGCUCAGAAAGAUGACCUGGAAGACUCCAUCUGCAUAAUAAGACAACCUUUCUUCCUGUGCACCUCCACCUCUCACCUUUCUUAGUGUCUGUUUCUCACCUCCACCGUCCAUUUAUUCUCCCUAAUGGUUUACUGCCCCCGAAAAUAAUUGUCUAAAUUCCCCGAUGAUAUGUAAUCAUGUUUCUUGAUCCCAAAUGUCUCAAAAUGGUGUCACUUAUGACAAAUGGCUCAGCCUACAGUGAAAUUGCUGACCCCUCAGAGUGAUAAGCAUAUGUAUAGAAGAUGUCACCUGCUGUGGCCAGGCACUGCUGAGACCUGACAAGCGAGUGAAGCCAAAAGGUGGCUGAGAUCAUGGCCAUGGAGGGCCAUAAAAACCACAAAGAAACUGACCACGGUCAAGAUGCCAGCAGAAGCUCUGCACGUGGCAACUCUGAGGCCUCUGUUCCAUCGGCAGGGGCUGUAGGAAGGUCUGCUGGGAGAAGAGCAGUGACAGUGACACCCGCUCCAACCCCGACCUAGGAAAAAAUAACAGGACCUGCUGGAUUGUCAGUCAGCAUGCUGGCCUCCUAAGAUAAUCAAGCUGUGACCCUCCUCUCUCUCUUACUAGUGCCCUUGUGUGUUGAAUAUAUUUGCAUGAUUGUAGGCAUGUGAAAGCCUCACAAUAAACCAUGGAUUCAUCAGCAUUUAAUUGGCCACCUACUCAGUGUGAAGCCUCCUGGCCUCAGUUAGCACAACGAGGCUGAUUUGAACCUGAUAGGAGAGCCAUCUCUCCGUCCCCUAUGAAAAAGAGCAUAUGGGCUUCUGCGCUGCUGUCGGUCAGAGGGUAAUCAUUCUCCUGUGGUUCCCCCAUGCUAUGCGCGUUACAGUAAACUAUUGCAUGCCUUUUCCUUUAUUAAUUUGCCUUUUGUCAGCUGAUUUUCAGUGAACCUUUAGAGGGCGAAGGGGAAGUUUUCUCUGUACCCCUAUAAGUCUCUCCAGGAAAUGGCUCAAAAAUAAAAUAAAAAGGAAUAGAAUCUAUUCCUAACCCU